rnacentral:rRNA from 1 species
GAUGAACGCUGGCGGCGUGCCUAAUACAUGCAAGUCGAGCGAACAGACGAGGAGCUUGCUCCUCUGACGUUAGCGACGGACGGGUGAGUAACACGUGGAUAGCCUACCUAUAAGACUGGGAUAACUUCGGGAAACCGGAGCUAAUACCGGAUAAUAUAUUGAACCGCAUGGUUCAAUCGUGAAAGACGGUUUUGCUGCCACUUAUAGAUGGAUCCGCGCCGCAUUAGCUAGUUGGUAAGGUAACGGCUUACCAAGGCGACGAUGCGUAGCCGACCUGAGAGGGUGAUCGGCCACACUGGAACUGAGACACGGCCCAGACUCCUACGGGAGGCAGCAGUAGGGAAUCUUACGCAAUGGGCGAAAGCCUGACGGAGCAACGCCGCGUGAGUGAUGAAGGUCUUCGGAUCGUAAAACUCUGUUAUUAGGGAAGAACAAAUGUGUAAGUAACUAUGCACGUCUUGACGGUACCUAAUGAGAAAGCCACGGCUAACUACGUG